UACGUAGGGGGCAAGCGUUAUCCGGAUUUACUGGGUGUAAAGGGAGCGUAGACGGCUUUGCAAGCCAGAUGUGAAAGCCCGGGGCUCAACCUCGGGACUGCAUUUGGAACCGUAUGGCUGGAGUGUCGGAGAGGCAGGCGGAAUUCCUAGUGUAGCGGUGAAAUGCGUAGAUAUUAGGAGGAACACCAGUGGCGAAGGCGGCCUGCUGGACGAUGACUGACGUUGAGGCUCGAAAGCGUGGGGAGCAAACAGG
rnacentral:rRNA from 1 species